UACGUAGAGUGCGAGCGUUAAUCGGAAUUACUGGGCGUAAAGCGUGCGCAGGCGGUUCUCCAAGUCCGUUGUGAAAGCCCCGGGCUCAACCUGGGAAUGGCAGUGGAAACUAGGGGACUGGAAUCUGGCAGAGGGGGGUGGAAUGCCGCGUGUAGCAGUGAAAUGCGUAGAGAUGCGGCGGAACACCGAUGGCGAAGGCAGCCCCCUGGGCUGAGAUUGACGCUCAGGCACGAAAGCGUGGGGAGCAAACAGG
rnacentral:rRNA from 1 species